CCCUGCCUUUGCUCGCACAACUAGCUGACUCUUCCAGCUUGGCGCGCUCAGACCUACCCCGUGACAUGAUGUCUUUGAACAAUACGCACCCAUAAAAUAAGGCUACGGCCUCUUAUCAGCAGAACCCCAUUGAAACCUUGAAGGUCAAGUGCAUAUGAAGAAUUCAGAUUAAAGGCUUCCAGGACCGGGCUGUAUAGAGGAGGGUGUGGAAGGGGUUUCGUCAUUACCGUAAGUGCAUUUCC